rnacentral:rRNA from 1 species
UGGGGAAUAUUGCACAAUGGGCGCAAGCCUGAUGCAGCCAUGCCGCGUGUGUGAAGAAGGCCUUCGGGUUGUAAAGCACUUUCAGCGAGGAGGAAGGUGGUGAACUUAAUACGUUCAUCAAUUGACGUUACUCGCAGAAGAAGCACCGGCUAACUCCGUGCCAGCAGCCGCGGUAAUACGGAGGGUGCAAGCGUUAAUCGGAAUUACUGGGCGUAAAGCGCACGCAGGCGGUUUGUUAAGUCAGAUGUGAAAUCCCCGGGCUCAACCUGGGAACUGCAUUUGAAACUGGCAAGCUAGAGUCUCGUAGAGGGGGGUAGAAUUCCAGGUGUAGCGGUGAAAUGCGUAGAGAUCUGGAGGAAUACCGGUGGCGAAGGCGGCCCCCCUGGANGAAGACUGACGCUCAGGUGCGAAAAGGCGUGGGGGAGCAAAACAGAUUAGAUACCCUGGUAGUCCACGCUGUAAAACGAUGUCGA